AGGAAACUUGAGAGGAGCUGUCCCUAGUACGAGAGGACCGGGAUGGACGGAUCUCUGGCGUACCAGUUAUCGCGCCAGCGGUAGUGCUGGGUACCCAUAUCCGGACGGGAUAAGCGCUGAAGGCAUCUAAGCGCGAAGCCCCCCUCAAGAUAAGGUUUCCCAUGGCUUAAGCCAGUAAGACCCCUGGCAGACUACCAGGUAGAUAGGCCGGGCGUGUAAGCAUAGCAAUGUGUUAAGCGGACCGGUACUAAUAGGUCGAGGGCUUGACCUA
rfam:Peptococcaceae bacterium BRH_c8a BRHa_1004325, whole genome shotgun sequence.